rnacentral:rRNA from 1 species
UACGGGGGGAGCAAGCGUUGUUCGGAUUUACUGGGCGUAAAGGGCGCGUAGGCGGCGCAACAAGUCACUUGUGAAAUCUCCGGGCUUAACCCGGAGCGGUCAAGUGAUACUGUCGUGCUAGAGUGCGGAAGGGGCUACUGGAAUUCUCGGUGUAGCGGUGAAAUGCGUAGAUAUCUGGAGGAAUACCGGUGGCGAAGGCGGCAUCCUGGACCAUUACUGACGCUGAGGCGCGAAAGCUAGGGGAGCAAACGGG